CUCAUACAUUAAGUAUACUGUACAUGUGAAUAGCUCUGCACCUUUUUAAAGUAAAAAUUUAUAUUACACAGUGCAUGGGAAAUUAACUUGAGAGGGUGUCCGACAAAUAGGCUUGACCUACAUACUGGUUGAGGUUAUAAUGAGAGGCUAGUGCAGAUCCAGAUCUUAAGACAAAUUAGUUAUGUCGGGUCCCUCAGUAUAAGGCAGAUAAUUCAGUAACAGGAGCCCAGUAUGAG